rnacentral:rRNA from 1 species
GGAGCCGUAGCGAAAGCGAGUUUUAACUGAGCGUUCAGUUACUUGACGUAGACCCGAAACCGGGCGACCUACCCAUGAGCAGGAUGAAGCGAAAGUAAAAUUUCGUGGAGGUCCGAACCCACGAGCGUUGAAAAGCUCGGGGAUGACUUGUGGGUAGCGGUGAAAUUCCAAUCGAGCCCGGAGAUAGCUGGUUCUCCCCGAAAUAGCUUUAGGGCUAGCCUCAAGGUGAGAGAUACGGAGGUAGAGCACUGAAUGUCCUAGGGGGUAUUGCACCUACCGAAGACUAUCAAACUCCGAAUGCCGUCAUCUUAUACUUGGGAGUCAGACUGUGGGUGAUAAGAUUCAUAGUCGAAAGGGCAACAGCCCAGAUCGUCAGCUAAGGUCCCUAAAUGUAAGUUAAGUGGUAAAGGAUGUGGGAUUGCACAGACAACCAGGAUGUUGGCUUAGAAGCAGCCACUCAUUCAAAGAGUGCGUAAUAGCUCACUGGUCGAGUGAUCCUGCGCCGAAGAUUUCCGGGGCUAAAACUUACUACCGAAGCUACGGCAUCAGUAAUGAUGGGUAGGGGAGCUUCCCAUACGGGUUGAAGCAUGACCGUAAGGACAUGUGGACAGUAUGGGAGUGAGAAUGUUGGCAUGAGUAGCGAGAUGUGGGUGAGAA